GACAGCAGUCGCCGCGGUAAGACGAACCGUGCGAACGUUAUUCGGAAUCACUGGGCUUAAAGCGCGUGUAGGCGGAUUGGUGCGUCGGUGCCUGAAAUCCCCCGGCUCAACCGGGGAACGCGGCCCGAAACGACCAGUCUGGAGGGACGUAGGGGGAACUGGAACUUCCGGUGGAGCGGUGAAAUGCGUUGAGAUCGGAAGGAACGCCCGUGGCGAAAGCGAGUUCCUGGACGUCUGCUGACGCUGAGACGCGAAAGCUAAGGGAGCGAACGGGAUUAGAUACCCGAGUAGUCCCUGUCUCUUAUA
rnacentral:rRNA from 1 species